rnacentral:misc_RNA from 1 species
UAAAUGCGAUACGUAAUGUGAUACGCAAGUUGUCGUGAAUCAUUGAAAUCUUGAACGCAAAUUGCGCUUUUAAGUGAAAGCUUGAAAGCAUACUUUUAUGAGGGUGGGAAUGCCGUUAAAUUAUUUUGCGAUAGCAAAGUAAUUUAUGAUGAUAUGGGGGUGAACGAUUGAGUUCUCCCCUUAAAAGCAAAUUAAUUAGCAAUCAUGUGACGAAUUAUAUUAAUUGUGGUCACAUGAUUAUAUGCCCCCCCAAGUACCCCACCUCAUAAAAGUAUGAUAUACCCGCUGAACUUAA